rnacentral:tRNA from 1 species
GGUUGGUUAGCUCAGCUGGUUAGAGCGUCGUAAGUUGAGCAAAUUCCGGCCGAAUUCAAAUUCAAACUAACUAACCCACUCAGGUACUAAUACAGCACAAAUUGUAUCAAGUAAUGCGAAGGUCAUGAGUUCGAUCCUCAUACUGACCA